UAAAUACUCCCUCCGUUCGGAAUUACUUGUCGCAGAAAUGGAUGUAUCUAGAUGUAUUUUAGUUCUAGAUACAUCCAUAUUCGAGACAAGUAAUUCCGAACGGAGGGAGUAUUUA
rfam:Triticum urartu cultivar G1812 contig264810, whole genome shotgun sequence.